AAUGAACGCUGGCGGAAUGCUUUACACAUGCAAGUCGAACGGCAGCACGGGGCAACCUGGUGGCGAGUGGCGAACGGGUGAGUAAUACAUCGGAACGUGCCCAAUCGUGGGGGAUAACGUAGCGAAAGUUACGCUAAUACCGCAUACGAUCUACGGAUGAAAGCGGGGGAUCGCAAGACCUCGCGCGAAUGGAGCGGCCGAUGUCAGAUUAGGUAGUUGGCGGGGUAAAGGCUCACCAAGCCAACGAUCUGUAGCUGGUCUGAGAGGACGACCAGCCACACUGGGACUGAGACCCGGCCCAGACUCCUACGGGAGGCAGCAGUGGGGAAUUUUGGACAAUGGGCGCAAGCCUGAUCCAGCCAUUCCGCGCGCAGGAUGAAGGCCUUCGGGUUGUAAACUGCUUUUGUACGGAACGAAACGGUUCUCUCUAAUACAGGGGGCUAAUGACGGUACCGUAAGAAUAAGCACCGGCUAACUACGUGCCAGCCGCCGCGGUAAGAC
rnacentral:rRNA from 1 species